rnacentral:rRNA from 1 species
CCUACGGGAGGCAGCAGUGAGGAAUAUUGGUCAAUGGGCGGAAGCCUGAACCAGCCAAGUCGCGUGAGGGAUUAAGGCCCUGCGGGUCGUAAACCUCGUUUGCCGGGGAGCAGUGGUCCGGACGCGUCCGGACCGGGAGAGUACCCGGAGAAAAAGCAUCGGCUAACUCCGUGCCAGCAGCCGCGGUAAUUCGAAGGAUGCGAGCGUUAUCCCGAUGUCUUGGGUUUAAAGGGUGCGUAGGCGGGCAUUUAAGCCGGCGGUAAAAUUUCGGGGCUCAACCCCGGCCUGCCGUCGGAACUGGGUGCCUUGAGUGGGCGAGAAGUAUGCGGAAUGCGUGGUGUAGCGGUGAAAUGCAUAGAUAUCACGCAGAACCCCGAUUGCGAAGGCAGCAUACCGGCGCCCUACUGACGCUGAGGCACGAAAGUGCGGGUAUCGAACAGGAUUAGAUACCCUUGUAGUC